GGUGUAUAGCUCAGUUGGUUAGAGCGCACGACUGAUAAUCGUGAGGUCCCUGGUUCAACUCCAGGUACA
rnacentral:tRNA from 1 species